AGCCUGAACGCUGGCGGCGUGGUUAAGACAUGCAAGUCGCACGGUGCGUAGCAAUACGCAUAGUGGCGAACGGGUGAGUAAUGAAUCGCUAAUGUACCCCGGACUCUGGGAUAGCUGCCCGAAAGGGCAGGUAAUACCAGAUGACAUACCUUGCCGGCAUCGGUGAGGUCUCAAAGGUCCGCCGGUCUGGGCGCAGGCGAUUUCGUAUCAGCUAGUUGGUGCGGGUAACGGCCCACCAAGGCGACGACGCGUAGCCGGACUGAGAGGUUGGCCGGCCACAUCGGGACUGAGACACUGCCCGGACUCCUACGGGGGGCUGCAGUAACGAAUCUUCCCCAAUGCACGCAAGUGUGAGGGAGCGACGCCGCGUGUGGGACGAAGUCCUUCGGGAUGUAAACCACUGUCAGGGGAUACCAAGUUCUGAGGAUCCCCAGAGGAAGAGGCGGCUAACUCUGCGCCAGCAGCCGC
rnacentral:rRNA from 1 species